AUUAAUUAUGUGCGCGCGUCACGACAUCUAUGAGCUCUUGCACAAUUCAAGGACGUAAUGCGUGCGCAAGAGGCGAUGCGAUAGACAAUAAUAUAUUAGCUUGUCCGUAAGAACAAAAGACUAUAGCUGGCACGUCCUGCACGUCAAUUCUUCUCGCAGUUGCCGCUCGUAACGCGUCCUGUGUGCAAGAGUUUUGUGUUAUUAGAGGGACUUAGUUCAGUGGUACAUACAUAUAACAACGUAAGCAAUAAAACAUAAGUAGUAAGCAAAUCAACAUUUUUUAUUUGCUUACUAUUUACGUUACUGUCUUAUUGCUCGACCGCGGUUUUCUUAUUCUCGAUUUUUUUAUUGCUUUUGUCUUACUGCUUACACGUUUUUCUAUGUAACCUUUAACGUUCUGACUAACCUUAGUCUCCAUUAAUUUACGUGCCGCCGUUCACUUAUAUCAUGCUACAAUAUCGCGAUAGCAAGGUGUUCGCUAAUACAAAGUGAAAGUUAAAUUUGUGCAAUUACUCUUUUUGAAAAAUGAAAACUUUUAUUAUUAAAUGUAAAGAAGAUAAUUCUUACUGUAUGGUCGAAGGACACAAUGUAAUUUGUGAUGAACAUAUGGUUGAAAAUGGUCAGACAGUAGAUUUCUUUUGGAAUAAAAAGAAAUUUACAGGGAGCAUCGUUAUGAGUUCUGAAAACGUUGAAGUGUUAAAUAAUGAGCUGUAUAUAAACUCAAAAAUAUGAAUAAAUCUAAAAAACGUCCAUUGUCAACAGUUAAUGAACGAUUCAGUAGAAGAAAGAUAAUAUAAUAAAAAAACAGCUUUCAUCAUCAACUAAAGUAGCUUGUAGUAAAACAGUAAAUACAAGUAAAAUAAUUCCAAAGGAAAAAAAAUCGAUGGAUGUGAAAAACCUCAAGCAUUAUAAAAAUUAUUCGUCAAGUGAUUCUACCUCUUCUGAUAAAGCGGACAAUAAAGGAAACAUCCAAAAAAGUUUUGAUAAUGAAGUAGAAAUUAGUAAUAGUGAAAGUGUCGAGGAGAAUUCGGGACUUCCAACUAAUCUCACGACAGAGCAAUUGCGAGCUAUAGCUAAGAAAUAUUAUAAGCUAGCUAAAAAGUAAUAAACAAAAAUUGAAAAGUGACAAUUUAGAUUCUUACAUUGAAGAAAAGGACAAGCCAAAUAAGAUAGAUAAGAAGAAUGAAAGUACAAGAGAAGAAACAGAUAAAAACAUAAAUAUGAAAAAAGAAGUAGAUGAAA